UACGGAGGGAGCUAGCGUUGUUCGGAUAUACUGGGCGUAAAGGGCUCGUAGGUGGCCCCAUAAGUCAGACGUGAAAUCCCUCGGCUCAACCGGGGAACUGCGUCUGAGACUGUGGGGCUUGAAUCCGGGAGAGGGAUGCGGAAUUCCAGGUGUAGCGGUGAAAUGCGUAGAUAUCUGGAGGAACACCGGUGGCGAAGGCGGCAUCCUGGACCAACACUGACACUGAGGAGCGAAAGCCAGGGGAGCAAACGGG
rnacentral:rRNA from 1 species